rnacentral:misc_RNA from 1 species
GAUGAAGAACGCAGCGAAAUGCGAUAAGUAAUGUGAAUUGCAGAAUUCAGUGAAUCAUCGAAUCUUUGAACGCACAUUGCGCCCGCCAGUAUUCUGGCGGGCAUGCCUGUUCGAGCGUCAUUUCAACCAUCAAGCCCCCGGCUUGUGUUGGGGACCUGCGGCUGCCGCAGGCCCUGAAAACCAGUGGCGGGCUCGCUGUCACACCGAGCGUAGUAGAUUUUCAUCUCGCUCAGGGCGUGCUGCGGGUUCCGGCCGUAAAAAGCCUUAUUUACCCAAGGUUGACCUCGGAUCAGGUAGGAAGACCCGCUGAACUUAAGCAUAUCAAUAAGCGGAG